AAUCAGUGAUGAAACCUAUCCCAAAACUGAUGACCUGAAGAAAAAUAAAAGUUUUGUUGAGAAAGCAAAUUGGGCCCCCAGAU